rnacentral:rRNA from 1 species
GACGAACGCUGGCGGCGUGCUUAACACAUGCAAGUCGAACGGAAAGGCCCUGCUUUUGUGGGGUGCUCGAGUGGCGAACGGGUGAGUAACACGUGAGUAACCUGCCCUUGACUUUGGGAUAACUUCAGGAAACUGGGGCUAAUACCGGAUAGGAGCUCCUGCUGCAGGGUGGGGGUUGGAUAGUUUCGGCGGUUGGGGAUGGACUCGCGGUUUAUCAGCUUGUUGGUGGGGUAGUGGCUUACCAAGGCUUUGACGGGUAGCCGGCCUGAGAGGGUGACCGGCCACAUUGGGACUGAGUUACGGCCCAGACUGCUACGGGAGUCAGCAGUGGGGAAUAUUGCACAAUGGGCGGACGCCUGAUGCAGCAACGCCGCGUGCGGGAUGACGGCCUUCGGGUUGUAAACCGCUUUCGCCUGUGACGAAGCGUGAGUGACGGUAAUGGGUAAAGAAGCACCGGCUAACUACGUG